UACGAAGGGAGCUAGCGUUGUUCGGAAUCACUGGGCGUAAAGCGCACGUAGGCGGAUAUGCCAGUCAGGGGUGAAAUCCCGGAGCUCAACUUCGGAACUGCCCUUGAUACAGCAUGUCUUGAGUCCGAGAGAGGUGAGUGGAAUUCCUAGUGUGGAGGUGAAAUUCGUAGAUAUUAGGAAGAACACCGGAGGCGAAGGCGGCUCACUGGCUCGGUACUGACGCUGAGGUGCGAAAGCGUGGGGGAGCAAACAGGAUUAGAUACCCUGGUAGUCCACGCUGUAAACGAUGGAUGCUAGCCGUCAGCAAGCAUGCUUGUUGGUGCGCAGCUAACGCAUUAAGCAUCCCGCUGGGAUACGGCCGCAAGGUUAAACUCAAAGGAU
rnacentral:rRNA from 1 species